rnacentral:rRNA from 1 species
CAUAGGUUAAUGAGGCGAACCGGGGGAACUGAAACAUCUAAGUACCCCGAGGAAAAGAAAUCAACCGAGAUUCCCCCAGUAGCGGCGAGCGAACGGGGAGCAGCCCAGAGCCUGAAUCAGUGUGUGUGUUAGUGGAAGCGUCUGGAAAGGCGCGCGAUACAGGGUGACAGCCCCGUACACAAAAAUGCACAUACUGUGAGCUCGAUGAGUAGGGCGGGACACGUGGUAUCCUGUCUGAAUAUGGGGGGACCAUCCUCCAAGGCUAAAUACUCCUGACUGACCGAUAGUGAACCAGUACCGUGAGGGAAAGGCGAAAAGAACCCCGGCGAGGGGAGUGAAAAAGAACCUGAAACCGUGUACGUACAAGCAGUGGGAGCACGCUUAGGCGUGUGACUGCGUACCUUUUGUAUAAUGGGUCAGCGACUUAUAUUCUGUAGCAAGGUUAACCGAAUAGGGGAGCCGAAGGGAAACCGAGUCUUAACUGGGCGUUAAGUUGCAGGGUAUAGACCCGAAACCCGGUGAUCUAGCCAUGGGCAGGUUGAAGGUUGGGUAACACUAACUGGAGGACCGAACCGACUAAUGUUGAAAAAUUAGCGGAUGACUUGUGGCUGGGGGUGAAAGGCCAAUCAAACCGGGAGAUAGCUGGUUCUCCCCGAAAGCUAUUUAGGUAGCGCCUCGUGAAUUCAUCUCCGGGGGUAGAGCACUGUUUCGGCAAGGGGGUCAUCCCGACUUACCAACCCGAUGCAAACUGCGAAUACCGGAGAAUGUUAUCACGGGAGACACACGGCGGGUGCUAACGUCCGUCGUGAAGAGGGAAACAACCCAGACCGCCAGCUAAGGUCCCAAAGUCAUGGUUAAGUGGGAAACGAUGUGGGAAGGCCCAGACAGCCAGGAUGUUGGCUUAGAAGCAGCCAUCAUUUAAAGAAAGCGUAAUAGCUCACUGGUCGAGUCGGCCUGCGCGGAAGAUGUAACGGGGCUAAACCAUGCACCGAAGCUGCGGCAGCGACGCUGAUGCGUUGUUGGGUAGGGGAGCGUUCUGUAAGCCUGUGAAGGUGUGCUGUGAGGCAUGCUGGAGGUAUCAGAAGUGCGAAUGCUGACAUAAGUAACGAUAAAGCGGGUGAAAAGCCCGCUCGCCGGAAGACCAAGGGUUCCUGUCCAACGUUAAUCGGGGCAGGGUGAGUCGACCCCUAAGGCGAGGCCGAAAGGCGUAGUCGAUGGGAAACAGGUUAAUAUUCCUGUACUUGGUGUUACUGCGAAGGGGGGACGGAGAAGGCUAUGUUGGCCGGGCGACGGUUGUCCCGGUUUAAGCGUGUAGGCUGGUUUUCCAGGCAAAUCCGGAAAACUAAGGCUGAGGCGUGAUGACGAGGCACUACGGUGCUGAAGCAACAAAUGCCCUGCUUCCAGGAAAAGCCUCUAAGCAUCAGGUAACAUCAAAUCGUACCCCAAACCGACACAGGUGGUCAGGUAGAGAAUACCAAGGCGCUUGAGAGAACUCGGGUGAAGGAACUAGGCAAAAUGGUGCCGUAACUUCGGGAGAAGGCACGCUGAUAUGUAGGUGAAGCGACUUGCUCGUGGAGCUGAAAUCAGUCGAAGAUACCAGCUGGCUGCAACUGUUUAUUAAAAACACAGCACUGUGCAAACACGAAAGUGGACGUAUACGGUGUGACGCCUGCCCGGUGCCGGAAGGUUAAUUGAUGGGGUCAGCGCAAGCGAAGCUCUUGAUCGAAGCCCCGGUAAACGGCGGCCGUAACUAUAACGGUCCUAAGGUAGCGAAAUUCCUUGUCGGGUAAGUUCCGACCUGCACGAAUGGCGUAAUGAUGGCCAGGCUGUCUCCACCCGAGACUCAGUGAAAUUGAACUCGCUGUGAAGAUGCAGUGUACCCGCGGCAAGACGGAAAGACCCCGUGAACCUUUACUAUAGCUUGACACUGAACAUUGAGCCUUGAUGUGUAGGAUAGGUGGGAGGCUUUGAAGUGUGGACGCCAGUCUGCAUGGAGCCGACCUUGAAAUACCACCCUUUAAUGUUUGAUGUUCUAACGUUGACCCGUGAUCCGGGUUGCGGACAGUGUCUGGUGGGUAGUUUGACUGGGGCGGUCUCCUCCUAAAGAGUAACGGAGGAGCACGAAGGUUGGCUAAUCCUGGUCGGACAUCAGGAGGUUAGUGCAAUGGCAUAAGCCAGCUUGACUGCGAGCGUGACGGCGCGAGCAGGUGCGAAAGCAGGUCAUAGUGAUCCGGUGGUUCUGAAUGGAAGGGCCAUCGCUCAACGGAUAAAAGGUACUCCGGGGAUAACAGGCUGAUACCGCCCAAGAGUUCAUAUCGACGGCGGUGUUUGGCACCUCGAUGUCGGCUCAUCACAUCCUGGGGCUGAAGUAGGUCCCAAGGGUAUGGCUGUUCGCCAUUUAAAGUGGUACGCGAGCUGGGUUUAGAACGUCGUGAGACAGUUCGGUCCCUAUCUGCCGUGGGCGCUGGAGAACUGAGGGGGGCUGCUCCUAGUACGAGAGGACCGGAGUGGACGCAUCACUGGUGUUCGGGUUGUCAUGCCAAUGGCACUGCCCGGUAGCUAAAUGCGGAAGAGAUAAGUGCUGAAAGCAUCUAAGCACGAAACUUGCCCCGAGAUGAGUUCUCCCUGACUCCUUGAGAGUCCUGAAGGAACGUUGAAGACGACGACGUUGAUAGGCCGGGUGUGUAAGCGCAGCGAUGCGUUGAGCUAACCGGUACUAAUGAACCGUGAGGCUUAACCUUACAAC